rnacentral:rRNA from 2 species
GGCGCGAAACUUAGGCAAUGCGAGAAAUCGUGACCAGGGAACGUCCAAGUGCGUAGGGUAAGACCUACGCUUUUCUUUGACUCUUCAAAGGUCUUGGAAUAAGGGGUGGGUAAGGACGGUGCCAGCCGCCGCGGUAAUACCGGCGCCUCAAGUGGUAGUCGCUUUUAUUUGGGCCUAAAACGUCCGUAGCCGGUCUGGUGCAUUUCGUGGGUAAAAUCAACCCGCUCAACGGGUUGAAUUCUGCGAGCACGGCCAGACUUGGGGACCGGGAGAGGUGUGGGGGUACUCUCAGGGUAGGGGUAAAAUCCUGUCAUCCUGAGAGGACCACCUGUUGCGAAGGCGCCACACUAGAACGGAUCCGACGGUCAGGGACGAAACCUAGGGGCACGAACCGGAUUAGAUACCCCGGGUAGUCCUAGGUGUAAACG